AGUUCAGCUAUUUUUAAUAAUCUGUAUAAUUCCUAUAUGUCCAAGUCUAGACAGAAAACUGUAGUUCUUGGGAAAGCUGUAACUCAGUGAUUGACAACAACGAUGAAGUUUGUUAAAACUUUACCUAAACACAUAAACAAUGAGAUUCUUUUACA